ACACACUUCAAGUAAAGGCGACUGAAAAAUGUCUAGAAGUUAUAGAAAUUAGUACCGCAAGGGA
rnacentral:tRNA from 1 species